AUUUGGUAUCUUGGAUUCAAAAGAGGCGUUCCUGCAAAGCACUUUCUUUGUGCUCAGUAUCGGAUUGGUCCCUUUGAUGUAUGGAUUCGUAACAGGUAAUCUGAGCCACGCUUUCUUCUUCAUUUUUGUCUCUAUGCCAAAUUGGGAUAUUUCUGGAAUUUAACUGCCUUGCUGAGUGUUUACGUGUUUUUUACUGCAGUGAAUUUCUAUUGCCACUAUGAGGUUUGUGUUGCAAUAGCCAUUGCUUAUUCGGUGUUACCGGUUCGUCUGAAUUUCGAUAAGCAAUGCCUCUUUGUUCAAAAAUCUGAGAAAACAUGUCGCACAAAGUGUCUAAAUUGGUUGUUGUGGCUCACUUGUGAUCUUGAUAUUGUUACAAAUUACAAACAUGUCGCACAAAGUGUCUGAAUUCAUUUUUUUGCAGGUUAUGGUUCAUGGUAAUUUGGUGAGAGAAAUAUUAGUUAAGAAUGUAUCUUAAUAAUUCUGGCUGACUCAUUCCUUUGUCUUGACUAGUCAAAGGUACAAUGGAUUGGAUAUUCUCUGCACGGGUUGAUUUUGAUCGGAAGAAUGGAAUUGAUGGAGAAGUAUCGUUUCUGCUGUGAAGAAAACGAGUCUGUGUCGGGGCCUCGCCUCCAGGUUCAACAGCUGCGGCAGGGAUGGCAUCCAUAACACAUUGCAUUAUCUUAGGUCCCCUAGAGCCCAAAACAUUCAGAUCAGAUUGAGAACAUCGCACGAUGGAUAGCUCGUCUGCAGAAACUCUUGGAGACACUUGCUGAGACUAACUAGCUUGGUCGAACGAGACUUUGCAACUUUGGCUCCAUAAAAUGGAGGGUGUGCAUCAUACACGGUAAAUUUGGUGCCCAGAAAGUUUGAUCUCAAUUUCCCAACAUAGGUGAUACUACCUCUUGAUACAUCAUCAAGGUUUAGAGAUAUGAUAUAGUCAGUGUGGGUUACACGCCGACACUUGCGUGCAGCAAGAAGGAAUUUACCGUCAUCAGUUGAGGCUUGGUUUAAACAGAGAAAAAGAUAAUAUGUUUGACAGUUAAGAUUUCAUUUGAUAUAUCAUUGAAUGAGAGAGUCCCAUCUGUUGCCAUCUGAUUGCAGGAGUCUCUGACUGAACCGCGUGAUAUUGAAUGAGAUUCAUGAUACUCGCAUAUGAUGAAUGGAUGCAGUAACAGGUCUGAUGCAGAAGGUGUUAAAUCCGGUUCCUUGUGAAAGCAUUUCAACAAAAAGUCCUUCGCCUCAGCAGACAGUUGUUCAGGUAUUGGUUAACUCCCCUUGGUAGCUUGGUCAUGAGCAAAUGGAGAUUAAUUGGUGAAGGGUUGUAAUUUGGAAACACUUGAACGGUUGUGAUCUGUUUUAGCCUUGUCAGUACAGUCAUUUGCAAUGCCAUUUGCAGGUUCAGGUUGGUUGAUUUGUUUGGCAUGUGGAGCAGCAGGGCUUAAAUGCAAGACAUGUUUGAUGUAAAUGAGGUUUUGUACCAGCUGGAUGAAUCAAAAUCAAAGGCGAGGUAGUCAUGAUCAAGGUUGACUUAUCCAUCAGUUCAUGCUUUUU
rnacentral:lncRNA from 1 species